rnacentral:rRNA from 1 species
CACGUAGGGCGCAAGCGUUGUCCGGAAUUAUUGGGCGUAAAGAGCUCGUAGGCGGUCUGUUGCGUCCGCUGUGAAAACCCGGGGCUUAACCCCUGGCUUGCAGUGGAUACGGACAGACUAGAGGUAGGUAGGGGAGAAUGGAAUUCCCGGUGUAGCGGUGAAAUGCGCAGAUAUCGGGAGGAACACCGGUGGCGAAGGCGGUUCUCUGGGCCUUACCUGACGCUGAGGCGCGAAAGCGUGGGGAGCGAACAGG